UACGAAGGGGGCUAGCGUUGUUCGGAUUUACUGGGCGUAAAGCGCACGUAGGCGGAUUGUUAAGUCAGGGGUGAAAUCCUGGAGCUCAACUCCAGAACUGCCUUUGAUACUGGCAAUCUUGAGUCCGGAAGAGGUGAGUGGAACUCCUAGUGUAGAGGUGGAAUUCGUAGAUAUUAGGAAGAACACCAGUGGCGAAGGCGGCUCACUGGUCCGGUACUGACGCUGAGACGCGAAGGCGUGGGGAGCGAACGGG
rnacentral:rRNA from 1 species